GUAAAAACCUUAAACUACAA
rnacentral:snRNA from 1 species